AGGAACACAAGGUCAGCCAUCAUUUGCCCAGAAUGAGUGGAGUGAGACACAAAUGCAGAGCAAUUUGAUGGAUACUCCUGGCACCAAAUUUCAACAAGGACUCCCUGAAACACAUGACUAUUUUAACAUGGGAUGAUGCUGAAACCCCCGAAGACAAUGAGAUUACCACUCCUGGCACCAAAUUUCAACAAGGACUCCC